AUAAUCCAUCUAGCAGUGGAGUCUAAAUUUUGGACAUUGAAACCGGCGUCAUAAUUACAUUUGAUGUGUGUAUCAGGCGGAGCUUUCCACUUCGUAUUGUGAACCACGGUAAUACACCAUCCCAUAUUAAUAUCGAAUCAAGCACGUCAAUUCUAGGAUUUCACCCGUGGUAGUAUUUAAUUGUAUAAUUAUAGUUUAAUUGUCAUUCUAGGAUUUCACUCCUAAUUCUAUCGCAAAUUAUUAUCAACCUAAACCAGUCAAUUCUAAAAUAUCACCCGUAGUACACCAUCCCAUAUUAAUAUUGAUUUAAACCCGUUAAUUCUAGGAUUUCACCCGUGGUAGUACUGCGAGAGAAAUCUUAUAAAAGAAUCAAAAUGUGUUU
rnacentral:sRNA from 1 species